UACGUAGGUGGCAAGCGUUGUCCGGAUUUAUUGGGCGUAAAGCGCGCGCAGGCGGUCUUUUAAGUCUGAUGUGAAAGCCCACGGCUCAACCGUGGAGGGUCAUUGGAAACUGGGAGACUUGAGUGCAGAAGAGAAGAGUGGAAUUCCACGUGUAGCGGUGAAAUGCGUAGAGAUGUGGAGGAACACCAGUGGCGAAGGCGACUCUUUGGUCUGUAACUGACGCUGAGGCGCGAAAGCGUGGGGAGCAAACAGG
rnacentral:rRNA from 1 species